rnacentral:rRNA from 1 species
GAUGAACGCUAGCGGAACGCCUAACACAUGCAAGUCGCACGGCAGCGUGGGCUUCGGCCUGGCGGCGAGUGGCGAACGGGUGAGUAGUAUAUCGGAACGUACCCAAGAGUGGGGGAUAACGUAGCGAAAGUUACGUUAAUACCGCAUCCGAUCUAAGGAUGAAAGCAGGGGAUCGCAAGACCUUUUGCCCCUGGAGCGGCCGAUAUCGGAUUAGCUAGUUGGUGAGGUAACGGCUCACCAAGGCAACGAUCAGUAGCAGGUCUGAGAGGACGACCAGCCACACUGGAACUGAGACACGGUCCAGACUCCUACGGGAGGCAGCAGUGGGGAAUUUUGGACAAUGGGGGCAACCCUGAUCCAGCAAUGCCGCGUGAGUGAAGAAGGCCUUCGGGUUGUAAAGCUCUUUUGUCAGGGAAGAAAAGGUCGUGGCUAAUAUCCACGACUGCUGACGGUACCUGAAGAAUAAGCACCGGCUAACUACGUGCCAGCCGCCGCCGUAA